UCGUGUCUCGUGCCGGCCCUUUGGGGUUGGUGUGGGGUGUGGGUGUGGAACCUGGGGUCUGUUGGUGGGUGGUGGCUGUUCGGACACACUGUUGGGUCCUGAGGGAUCAGGCUCCGCAUCGUCUCCUGCUGAAUUGGGGGGUGGUGGGGGUUGGUUUCUCUGGUUGUCUCCUCCUUUGUCUGCUCCGCGACCGGUUGGUUGGGGGUGGGGGUUGGUGGGGUUGUUGUUUGAGAUCUGCAUAGUGGACGCGAGCAUUUAAUUCAUGCCCCCGACUUUUUUUGUUGGGGGUGUGGUUGUGCAUGAUUGUUUUGUUGUUCUUGUGGUGUUGUCUUGUGGCGUUGCAUGUUUGUGUUGUUGUGACGUUGUUGA
rnacentral:misc_RNA from 1 species